rnacentral:rRNA from 1 species
CACGUAGGGCGCAAGCGUUGUCCGGAAUUAUUGGGCGUAAAGAGCUCGUAGGCGGUCUGUUGCGUCCGCUGUGAAAACUCGGGGCUUAACCCCGAGCCUGCAGUGGAUACGGGCAGACUAGAGGUAGGUAGGGGAGAAUGGAACUCCUGGUGUAGCGGUGGAAUGCGCAGAUAUCAGGAAGAACACCGAUGGCGAAGGCAGUUCUCUGGGCCGUAACUGACGCUGAGGAGCGAAAGCGUGGGGAGCGAACAGG